rnacentral:rRNA from 1 species
GAGUGAAAUAGAACCUGAAACCGUGUGCUUACAAGUAGUCAGAGCCCGUUAAUGGGUGAUGGCGUGCCUUUUGUAGAAUGAACCGGCGAGUUACGAUUUGAUGCAAGGUUAAGCAGUAAAUGUGGAGCCGUAGCGAAAGCGAGUCUGAAUAGGGCGUUUAGUAUUUGGUCGUAGACCCGAAACCAGGUGAUCUACCCUUGGUCAGGUUGAAGUUCAGGUAACACUGAAUGGAGGACCGAACCGACUUACGUUGAAAAGUGAGCGGAUGAACUGAGGGUAGCGGAGAAAUUCCAAUCGAACCUGGAGAUAGCUGGUUCUCUCCGAAAUAGCUUUAGGGCUAGCCUCAAGUGAUGAUUAUUGGAGGUAGAGCACUGUUUGGACGAGGGGCCCCUCUCGGGUUACCGAAUUCAGACAAACUCCGAAUGCCAAUUAAUUUAACUUGGGAGUCAGAACAUGGGUGAUAAGGUCCGUGUUCGAAAGGGAAACAGCCCAGACCACCAGCUAAGGUCCCAAAAUAUAUGUUAAGUGGAAAAGGAUGUGGCGUUGCCCAGACAACUAGGAUGUUGGCUUAGAAGCAGCCAUCAUUUAAAGAGUGCGUAAUAGCUCACUAGUCGAGUGACACUGCGCCGAAAAUGUACCGGGGCUAAACAUAUUACCGAAGCUGUGGAUUGUCCUUUGGACAAUGGUAGGAGAGCGUUCUAAGGGCGUUGAAGCAUGAUCGUAAGGACAUGUGGAGCGCUUAGAAGUGAGAAUGCCGGUGUGAGUAGCGAAAGACGGGUGAGAAUCCCGUCCACCGAUUGACUAAGGUUUCCAGAGGAAGGCUCGUCCGCUCUGGGUUAGUCGGGUCCUAAGCUGAGGCCGACAGGCGUAGGCGAUGGAUAACAGGUUGAUAUUCCUGUACCACCUAUAAUCGUUUUAAUCGAUGGGGGGACGCAGUAGGAUAGGCGAAGCGUGCGAUUGGAUUGCACGUCUAAGCAGUAAGGCUGAGUAUUAGGCAAAUCCGGUACUCGUUAAGGCUGAGCUGUGAUGGGGAGAAGACAUUGAGUCUUCGAGUCGUUGAUUUCACACUGCCGAGAAAAGCCUCUAGAUAGAAAAUAGGUGCCCGUACCGCAAACCGACACAGGUAGUCAAGAUGAGAAUUCUAAGGUGAGCGAGCGAACUCUCGUUAAGGAACUCGGCAAAAUGACCCCGUAACUUCGGGAGAAGGGGUGCUCUUUAGGGUUAACGCCCAGAAGAGCCGCAGUGAAUAGGCCCAAGCGACUGUUUAUCAAAAACACAGGUCUCUGCUAAACCGUAAGGUGAUGUAUAGGGGCUGACGCCUGCCCGGUGCUGGAAGGUUAAGAGGAGUGGUUAGCUUCUGCGAAGCUACGAAUCGAAGCCCCAGUAAACGGCGGCCGUAACUAUAACGGUCCUAAGGUAGCGAAAUUCCUUGUCGGGUAAGUUCCGACCCGCACGAAAGGCGUAACGAUUUGGGCACUGUCUCAACGAGAGACUCGGUGAAAUCAUAGUACCUGUGAAGAUGCAGGUUACCCGCGACAGGA